UACGGGGGGGGGCAAGCGUUGUUCGGAAUUACUGGGCGUAAAGGGCUCGUAGGCGGCCAACUAAGUCGGAUGUGAAAUCCCCCAGGCUCAACCUGGGAACUGCAUCCGAUACUGGAUGGCUUGAAUUCGGGAGAGGAAUGCGGAAUCCAGGUGUAGCGGUGAAAUGCGUAGAUAUCCGAAGGAACAUCAGUGGCGAAAGCGGCUUCCUAG
rnacentral:rRNA from 1 species